AGAGUUUGAUCAUGGCUCAGGAUGAACGUUGGCGGCGUGCCUAAUACAUGCAAGUCGAACGGUANUNAACCNUUCGUGCUUNAUGAGAGUGGCGAACGGGUGAGUAACACGUAACUGAUCUGCCCUUUAGACUGGGAUAACCUUUGGAAACAGAGGCUAAUACCGGAUGAGCUCGCGGUAGUUAGAGAGCCGUGAGGAAANGCUUAUGCGCUANGGGAUGAGGUUGCGGGCCAUCAGCUGGUUGGUGAGGUAAAGGCUUACCAAGGCGAUGACGGUUAGGGGACCUGAGAGGGUGGCCCCCCACACUGGGACUGAGACACGGCCCAGACUCCUACGGGAGGCAGCAGUAAGGGAUAUUGCACAAUGGACGGAAGUCUGAUGCAGCGACGCCGCGUGGGUGAAGAAGGUUUUCGGAUCGUAAAGCCCUUUUCUAUGUGACGAGAAAGGACGGUAGCAUAGGAAUAAGUGUCGGCUAACUACGUGCCAGCAGCCGCGGUAAAACGUAGGACGCGAACGUUAUCCGGAGUUACUGGGCGUAAAGCGCGCGUAGGCGGUUGGUUAAGUUACCUAUGAAAGAUACCGGCUAAACUUGUAUUGGUUAGGUGAAACUGGUCNACUAGAGAGAAAUAGAGGGAAGUAGAAUUCCGGGUGUAGUGGUGAAAUG
rnacentral:rRNA from 1 species